UCCGCCCCAUCACUUCCGGGUGCGACCACCGCUUCUGUCCGGCCGGGCUCCUGGGGCGGUCGGCACGGCAUUCCUUCUUCCGUCCGUUCUGGCUCCUGCCCCUUCCCUGCUCGCAGCCGGAGGGUCAUGAGUGUCCCUGAGCCGCCGCCCCCGGACGGGGACCUGACCGGGCUGCCCGACGGCUCGGGGGCCGGGGAGCCGACGCCGGAUGUAAGUGACACUUCUCCGGAUGAAGUAUUGUUAGAGGCCUUGACCAUAGAAGACAGAGCCGUGGAGCAGCUGGCAGAAGGGUUGCUCUCUCACUAUUUGCCAGAUCUGCAGAGAUCAAAACAAGCCCUCCAGGAACUCACACAGAACCAAGUUGUACUAUUAGACACACUGGAACAAGAGAUUUCAAAAUUUAAAGAAUGUCAUUCUAUGUUGGAUAUUAAUGCUUUGUUCACUGAAGCUAAACACUAUCAUACCAAGUUAGUGAACAUAAGAAAAGAGAUGCUGAUGCUUCAUGAGAAGACGGCAAAGUUGAAAAAAAGAGCACUUAAACUGCAGCAGAAAAGGCAGAAAGAGGAGUUGGAAAGGGAGCAGCAACGAGAGAAGGAAUUUGAAAGAGAAAAGCAGUUAACUGCCAAACCAGCUAAGAGGACGUGAACACUUGAAUGUGUCGGUGUGUGUGUGUGUUUUCUUUGCUUAUCCCAUAGUCUGGAUUUACAACGACCCAAGUGUAACUGGAGUUAAGGUAGUGCCUUAUUCCACUGUUACAUCUUGAAAUCCUUUUCGGGAUCGCUGUGUCUCCUUAGCUUCAUUGCAGCUAUUUUUCUAAGGAGUAGGUGAUUCUGGUGUACCCUAAAGAUGAGGAUCACUAGUCUGAUGGUCAAGGUUCCCACACCAGACUGCAUACUGUUAUUACCUUGGAACUUUUAAAGAAUACAGACACUCCUAGACCUCAGUAGUUCUAAGGUGGAGCCUGCAAUCUGUAUUUUUCGAAGAGCUUCCUAGAUACUUAUGAUGCAGGGAACCCUUGGUCUAGGCUAUCUAGUGAUUUAUAUAAGCAGUGAAAUAAUUUAAAAACUAUCCAGUAACUCUUGGGAUUAAUCUUAUGAAAUAAAUUCUGGACCGUUGCUAUUGAUAUAAAUCAGAUUUAAGACUGAACCCUAGCAGAUGGGAAAUAGAUGUAGGAUUCUGGUUAAUUAAUCGAACUUUUGUGAGCUGUAUUAGAUUAUGUUUAUUGAAUGAAUGGGCAAAAUGUACAUUUUCAGAAUUGCAUUAUGUAAAUUUUGAAAACUUUUAAAAAUGUUAAAAAGAAUAGAUAUAUCAGGAUCUACUAUUUAAUCAGAAGUACUGUUGAUAAUUAAAAUCUAAAACUUUAUCUGUAUUUCAGUAACAUAGAGAUACUUCUUUACUGACUGAGCCUAAAUGGAAAUACUUAGACUUGCUGUAUUUUUGCAUAAGAUAGUGAAUUGGUGCUUGAGAGACUUCUGUUUUUUAGUUGGAAAAAAUUGCCUUUGUUUUGAAACUGUAUCACAAAUGUACUGAACUAAAACGUUGGGAUUUCAUUUCGUAUUUUACUUUGCAGUAGGUAUCAUGUAAAUAUGCAGAUGUUGCAUGUAAUAUAGAUUGUGUUCACUGUGAGUUUUUGAGUGGAUACAUUUUACAAAUAUGCCAAUUAUACACCUUCAUACAGUAGUCUGUUUCUCAGCUUGUAAAUGAUAACUACUUCUUAUAUAUUUAAUAAAAAAAAAGGCUCUGAA